UUAACUCAAAUUAGUAUAGAGUUGGAACGUUUGCUUACGUUAACCGCUAGAGGCGCUGUUCCAACUGCAUACUUUGAGUUA
rnacentral:pre_miRNA from 1 species